GAUAAACGCUGGCGGCGUGCCUAACACAUGCAAGUCGAACGCCCUUUUGCGCAAGUGAGAGGGAGUGGCGGACGGGUGAGUACCACGUGGGUACCUACCUUGAGGUGAGGAAUACCACCGAGAAAUCGGUGACAAGACCGCAUACGCUUGGCAACAAGCAAAGUCUCGCAAGAGACGCCACAAGAUGGGCCUGCGCCUGAUUAGCUAGUUGGUGAGGUAAUGGCNCACCAAGGCGACGAUCAGUAGCUGGUCUGAGAGGAUGAUCAGCCACACUGGGAUUGAGAACGG
rnacentral:rRNA from 1 species